rnacentral:rRNA from 1 species
GCCUAAAGCGUCCGUAGCUGGCUCUGUAAGUUUUCGGUUAAAUCCAUAUGCUCAACAUAUGGGCCGCCGGGAAUACUGCAUAGCUAGGGAGUGGGAGAGGUAGACGGUACUCCGUAGGAAGGGGUAAAAUCCUUUGAUCUAUGGAUGACCACCUGUGGCGAAGGCGGUCUACCAGAACACGUUCGACGGUGAGGGAUGAAAGCUGGGGGAGCAAACCGGAUUAGAUACCCGGGUAGUCCCAGCUGUAAACUAUGCAAACUCAGUGAUGCAUUGGCUUGUGGCCAGUGCAGUGCCGCAGAGAAGUCGUUAAGUUUGCCGCCUGGGAAGUACGUACGCAAGUAUGAAACUUAAAGGAAUUGGCGGGGGAGCACCACAAGGGGUGAAGCCUGCGGUUCAAUUGGAGUCAACGCCAGAAAUCUUACCCGAAGAGACAGCAGGAUGAAGGUCAAGCUGAAGACUUUACCAGACAAGCUGAGAAGUGGUGCAUGGCCGUCGCCAGCUCGUGCCGUGAGGUGUCCUGUUAAGUCAGGUAACGAGCGAGAUCCUUGCCUCUAGUUGCUACCAUUACUCUCAGGAGUAGUGGGGCGAAUUAGCGGGACUGCCGUAGUUAAUACGGAGGAAGGAGAGGGCCACGGCAGGUCAGUAUGCCCCGAA